rnacentral:miRNA from 1 species
CCAGUGUGGCAGAACUGGUUGAGCUACCCUAAACAACAACAACAACAACUAUUAUUAUUAUUAUUAUUAUUAUUAUUAUUAUUAUUUAGGGCAGCUCAACCAGUUCUGCCACACUGG